UUCAUUUAACAUAACUAGUACUGAUAUUUCUAUGCCUAUCAUUUAUUAUGCAACGUGAAUUAUAAUUAUUGGGCUGAAUCCUAGUUGCAUUUCCUAUUGUGUAAAGGACAUAAAAUUUCAAAGAAAAAUAGUUUUAAAAAAAAUAGUUUAAAAGGAAUAUAUCUGAAAACAGGACACAACCUAAACCAUCAGCCUGUCCUUUGAAUUUUAUGAAAUAAAUGAUUUCAUGUCAUUAUGUCAGUUGUUCCAGAAAAUAUUUUCUUUUUUUGUGAAAUCUGACAUCACCAGAAUGCAGCCUGAGGAAAAAAAAGAAAAACAAAACAAACAGAAAUUUUAGAAGCAAUGUUCAGGAAGAGGAGAAAGAGAUAAGUCUAAGAAGCUGGGAAUUACAACAAAUAAUCUUUGAAGCAUCCAUGUGGAAAGAGUUCUUGGGCAAGCCAAAGGAGCAGCAACUAAUCUUCUAAACCAUUUGAUGCAUCACAGUGCUGCAACUCAAACCAGCCAACUGCACUGAAACACAGAAAAUCCAGGCAGGACAGGCAGCUCCACCACAGCCCUGGCAGUGUGGAGACAUCAGUAGGGGUACCACCACCUCCAAACUUGACUGUGCAGACCCAGAUGUGAGUGGCC